rnacentral:tRNA from 1 species
GGUGCGAUAGCUCAGUUGGUAGAGCAAAGGACUGAAAAUCCUUGUGUCGGCGGUUCGAUCCCGCCUCACACCA